GAGGGGAGGUAAAACCAACGAGAACUGCUAACUCCCGAAUCUGAGCAUAACACCUCAGUCCCCUUG
rnacentral:tRNA from 1 species